rnacentral:misc_RNA from 1 species
UCGAAGGUGAAAGUUCUUUUGAUGCAAACCGAUACAAAUGAAAGUCCACAUUUAUGGAACGUAAUCGUAGGUUUGGGAAGGCCCUCUCUCCCUCCAGACAAAAUGUGCAAAAUCAUUCCAGUGCGAUUCCAUCAUUUUGGUAUCGCAAGUGAAUCACAGUCAAACUGGAGUAUUGAUGAUUCUAGCAAAAUCAAGCCGAUUAUGUUUGACGAAGACGAGAUUUACCCAGAAAUGUCAGACAUUGAUAGCCAGCGUAAUCGAUAUCAUUUUGUUGGAGAAGAGUGGCGUUUGAGUCAAAUUGAUGGCAAAUCAUUUUCGCUGGAUCUCCAGAUAAACGAGAGCAACAGCACGAGCAACGCAAGUUCAAUUGCAGCAAAAGGGGAUGCUGUUUGGCCUUGUUUUUAUACGGGCUGUUUGUGGCUGCCCAUCAAUCACAUUUCGUUCCAGUUUGCCCACGUUUUUCUCUGUCUGUCUUACUUGGCACCACCCGGACUUUAUGGACUCAUUUACCUACGUCUGGUGUUGGCCAUUGGGUCUGCGCUAUUGGCUGCUUGGGCUUGUUUCAUCAUAUGCGCAUUUGACACUUUCAUCUGGAACAGCCUCUUCCUCCUCGUCAAUGCUGUACAUGCUGUUGUACUGAUUAUCUCACUGCGAACAGUACAUUUUGGGCCACAAAUGGAACAGGUGUAUGGGGACAUCUUCCAGCCGCUGAAAGUGUCGAAGAGACAAUUUAAAGCCGUGGCCAAAUGCCUCACCUCCAUCCGGCUCAUGAAAAGAGGCGAAUGCUUUUCCGUUGAAAAGGAAACGAAAGUUGAAACACUUUCUCUUUUGCUGUCCGGCAGGAUGUUGGUUAGCCAAAAUGACAAAAUGCUUCACUUUAUUCACCCAAUGCAAUUCCUCGACUCCUCAGAUUGGUUUCAAGUUUCUUCUGACGACAUUUUUCAAGUGAGUAUCCGAGCUUGCGAAGAAUCACGGGUGUUGCUUUGGCAUCGUGAUAAGCUGAGAGUGAUCCUUCAAAAGGAUGCCUUCCUGCAAUCAGUUUUACAUGAAAUUCUGGGUCGCGACGUCGUUCGGAAACAUUGCCAGGUGAGAGAAAAAGUUGCCAGUUAUAAUGGAAGCCCACUAUUCAAAACGAACCUCAUGAAUAAUAUGUUGUUUGUUGAAAGCGAGAAACCGUUGAACCUUUUGUCAGCAUUUAAUCCGAAAAAUGCGAAUAAAGUCGACAAAAGUUUGGAAAAUGCUUAUAAACUUUUACAGAUAAAGCAAGAGCUCGCCGAUAGCCAACAGACAAUCAGCAAUCCGAUGAACACCCUCUAGUCAUUUGGUUCUGCUUUUGCAUGUGCGGGAAAUGCCGGAUAUUUUACCGUUCCAAAAUGAUUUAGAAGGAAAAAUUAUGAGAGUCCCUCGGGAAAUCCCUUUGCUAUUUUUCAAUUUUUUUGUAGUUUUUCCUAAAAACUCUAAAUAAUUAAAUAAACGUACGUACGUACGACUAUUCCUUAAA